AACAGGAUUAGAUACCCUGGUAGUCCACGCCCUAAACGAUGUCAACUGGUUGUUGGGAGGGUUUCUUCUCAGUAACGUAGCUAACGCGUGAAGUCGACCGCCUGGGGAGUACGGCCGCAAGGUUGAAACUCAAAGGAAUUGACGGGGACCCGCACAAGCGGUGGAUGAUGUGGUUUAAUUCGAUGCAACGCGAAAAACCUUACCUACCCUUGACAUGCCAGGAAUCUUGCAGAGAUGUGAGAGUGCUCGAAAGAGAACCUGGACACAGGUGCUGCAUGGCCGUCGUCAGCUCGUGUCGUGAGAUGUUGGGUUAAGUCCCGCAACGAGCGUAACCCUUGUCAUUAGUUGCUACGAAAGGGCACUCUAAUGAGACUGCCGGUGACAAACCGGAGGAAGGUGGGGAUGACGUCAGGUCAUCAUGGCCCUUAUGGGUAGGGCUACACACGUCAUACAAUGGCCGGGACAGAGGGCUGCCAACCCGCGAGGGGGAGCUAAUCCCAGAAACCCGGUCGUAGUCCGGAUCGCAGUCUGCAACUCGACUGCGUGAAGUCGGAAUCGCUAGUAAUCGCGGAUCAGCUUGCCGCGGUGAAUACGUUCCCGGGUCUUGUACACACCGCCCGUCACACCAUGGGAGCGGGUUCUGCCAGAAGUAGUUAGCCUAACCGCAAGGAGGGCGAUUACCACGGCAGGGUUCGUGACUGGGGUGAAGUCGUAACAAGGUAACC
rnacentral:rRNA from 1 species